GCCCGGGUAGCUCAGUUGGUAGAGCAGCGGACUGAAAAUCCGCGUGUCGCUGGUUCGAUUCCGGCCUCGGGCACCA
rnacentral:tRNA from 1 species